GAUGAACGCUGGCGGCGUGCCUAAUACAUGCAAGUCGAGCGAACAGACGAGGAGCUUGCUCCUCUGACGUUAGCGGCGGACGGGUGAGUAACACGUGGAUAACCUACCUAUAAGACUGGGAUAACUUCGGGAAACCGGAGCUAAUACCGGAUAAUAUAUUGAACCGCAUGGUUCAAUAGUGAAAGACGGUUUUGCUGUCACUUAUAUAUGGAUCCGCGCCGCAUUAGCUAGUUGGUAAGGUAACGGCUUACCAAGGCAACGAUGCGUAGCCGACCUGAGAGGGUGAUCGGCCACACUGGAAGUGUGACACGGUCCAGACUCCUACGGGAGGCAGCAGUAGGGAAUCUUCCGCAAGGGGCGAAAGCUUGACGGAGCAACGCCGCGUGAGUGAUGAAGGUCUUCGGAUCGUAAAACUCUGUUAUUAGGGAAGAACAAAUGUGUAAGUAACUAUGCACGUCUUGACGGUACCUAAUCAGAAAGCCACGGCUAACUACGUG
rnacentral:rRNA from 1 species